rnacentral:lncRNA from 1 species
UUUCUCCCAUAGGUUUUAUAUAACAUGAGGUUGACUUGCUCCCUCCAGCCUUCUGAACUACAUCCUUCCUGGAAGCCACAGAGCAUUUGGGGAAUGGAAGCUUGUCAUGAUGGACUCAAAGCUUUAGUCCCAGAUUUACUGCAACAUGGUGUGCUGUUGAUUUCUCACAAAGAAGUCACCAGAAAUAUAGCUCUGAGAAGCUUUUGCUCUGAAAGAAAUGACGUGAUUACAGCUCAGAAGCUAAGGAAGCUGCCAAAAACCAUAAGGAGAGAUAUUGAUGUAAGCAAGGCUUCUUGGGAAGAAAAUUUUUGUACAUCAUUCCUGUUUAUCUCCAAGCAAUAUGCAAAGCACAAUAAGAGCUGA